GCAGGAUAGCUCAGUUGGUAGAGCAUGAGACUCAUGGGUCAUGGGUUGGAGCCCCAUGUUGGGCA